CUGCACACGCUGUGCUUGGAAGGUCUGGGCCGGAUUUUAGCAGUCCUUCUCGAGGCGGAGGUGACCUCUGCCUCCUUCGAGGAUGUGGUCCAUGUCCUGCAGUGCUGGCUCACCUCGGCCAAAGCGUGGGAGCGGGAGAGGGCCUUGCAGGUCUGCGCCCAGCUGCUGGGUGAUUGCGAGGAGCGAUUCGAGGUCACGGGAAGAUGCGCUUGCAAGAAAUUUGGCUUCUUGGUGGCGCUGCUGGGACCCCUGACUAACGAAUCCCUGGCCACGUCCCGCCGCUGGGCAAGGGUCUGCCUGGGUCACCUUCUGC